CAGAAUCCCACGCGCCACCUUUUUCCACCGAUCUCACUCGCUACCCAUGGCGUCCCCCGCGACCAUUCCGAUGACGACGUCUCAAUCUACGGUCGGUGGUGGUACCCAAUCACAGCCCCCGAUAGCCACGCCUGCGUUUAGGGCGUUCCUCUCGCGCUUCACGUCCUCGAUCCGUCAAGGACUCUCCCAACGCCGUCCAUGGUAUGAACUCAUUGAUCGGUCCGCCAUGGCCCGUCCCGAUAAUCUAACUGAUGCCUAUUCCCGGAUCCGCAAAAACCUCUCUUACUUCAAAGUCAAUUAUAUAACUCUACUAGUGGUUGUGCUCGCCUUUUCUAUCCUAUCGCAUCCCCUCU
rnacentral:lncRNA from 1 species